rfam:Populus trichocarpa scaffold_17_contig_363, whole genome shotgun sequence.
UCUAGAACUCGAGAUAUGGGUUGAACACUGAACAGUGUCUGGGCUGUAGGACGGAUUCUAAGUUCUCCGUUGUUGCUAAGAUUUGGACUUCCAAACAGCAGAAUUGAGUCUUGGACUCAUAUGAAUGUUUUAGUCCUAUGUCUUAGCUUUCUAGC